rnacentral:misc_RNA from 1 species
UACGGAGGGUGCAAGCGUUAUCCGGAAUCAUUGGGUUUAAAGGGUUCGCAGGCGGCCUAAUAAGUCAGUGGUGAAAUCCCAUAGCUCAACUAUGGAACUGCCAUUGAUACUGUUAGGCUUGAAUGUAGUUGAAGUAGGCGGAAUGUGUAGUGUAGCGGUGAAAUGCUUAGAUAUUACACAGAACACCGAUAGCGAAGGCAGCUUACUAAACUAUGAUUGACGCUCAUGAACGAAAGCGUGGGGAGCGAACAGG